AUUGAACGCUGGCGGCAGGCCUAACACAUGCAAGUCGAGCGGAUGAAGGGAGCUUGCUCCUGGAUUCAGCGGCGGACGGGUGAGUAAUGCCUAGGAAUCUGCCUGGUAGUGGGGGAUAACGUCCGGAAACGGGCGCUAAUACCGCAUACGUCCCGAGGGAGAAAGUGGGGGAUCUUCGGACCUCACGCUAUCAGAUGGGCCUAGGUCGGAUUAGCUAGUUGGUGGGGUAAAGGCCUACCAAGGCGACGAUCCGUAACUGGUCUGAGAGGAUGAUCAGUCACACUGGAACUGAGACACGGUCCAGACUCCUACGGGAGGCAGCAGUGGGGAAUAUUGGACAAAGGGCGAAAGCCUGAUCCAGCCAUGCCGCGUGUGUGAAGAAGGUCUUCGGAUUGUAAAGCACUUUAAGUUGGGAGGAAGGGCAGUAAGUUAAUACCUUGCUGUUUUGACGUUACCAACAGAAUAAGCACCGGCUAACUUCGUG
rnacentral:rRNA from 1 species